UUCAAAUGCACAGUAUUGCACAAUAGCAAGAAAUAUCUAAUUUCACAAUAUUGUGCAAUAGCAAGAAAUUUUCAAUUGGAGUUAUCUUUCUUUGUCCAGAAUAGUAGUUGAAUCAACUUAAAUCAUUGUUUUAUACAAUAUACAAUGUAUAUUCACUUUUACUACCAACUGACAAAUUAAAACAAUCUUUACCAUUCAGUGAUAACAAGCACUUUAUUUUACAUUUUAAUAUUUUAUGAUGUAUUUAAAUGAGUAGUUAUUGUUGCAAACUCCAUUAGAAAUUUGAAUUGAGAUCAGUUUUGGGAAAAGGGAAAGGGGGAAAUGAAAUAAAAAGGGGAGGGGGGUUAAAUUUUUCUCAUUUCAGAUUUCAUAAAUAAAAAGAAAAUUUCUUCAAACACUUUUUUGAGAGGAUUAAUAUUCAACAGCAUAGUGAAUUGCUCAAAGGCCAAAAAAAUAAUUUAAGUUCAUUAGACCACAUUCAUUCUGUGUCAGAAACCUAUGCAGUGUCAACUAUUUAAUCACAAUCCAAAUUUAGAGCUGAAUCCAGCUUGAAUGUUGUGUCCAUACUUGGCCCAACCGUUCAGGGUUCAACCUCUGCGAUCGCAUAAAGCUGCACCCUGCGGAGCAUCUGGUUAUAUUGAUAGGUAGGUUAGCUAUAAAAAAAAAAGAGUACUUAAACAUUAAUAUCCAUGUUAAUAUAUAUGUAUUGAUAUCAUAGUUUACAAAACAUUUUUCAGAUUUUGCUGUGAAGCUUUAUCAAUCCUAAACAGGAAGUCAUUAAUAACCAAGAUAUGUUGCUAUAAUAUCACUCCUGUAAUUUAUUUUCUGAAUCCUGAAUUGACACUAAAUCUACAAUUUGGUGCAAUAUAUAUUUCUUCCUGUUGGGUAGUAAUGAUUCAAUGCAAAAUAAAGGAAACUUGCCAUAGUUUAUGCCAUGUUAAUUUUUGGGGUAAUGAGUGAUGGAAUGCAAACCCUAUGGUUAUUACUUGACAUCUAUUAAUACUAUAUCUUACAAGGUUUAUCACUACCUUUGAUAAGUGCAGUGAAGUGAGCAUUUAUAUUGAGAUCCUACCUAGUCAAUGUCAGGCAAUUUAUUGAUGAAUGUUGAUAUGUAUGUUACAAUAUGAUGUGUAAUUACAAUACUUGUCAAGAAAACCUUCUUUUUUUAAUUACUUAAAUAAUGCAUGGUGUAUGAAUCUGUCAUAAAAAUAGGUAGUACUACAAUUGUACAAUCAUGUACAAAGGAAGAUAACUCCAAAACAAAUUUUUGAUUUACAAAGCAAAAAUACAAUUUAAGUAGUUCACAAAAUUGCAAAAAGUAAGCAAUAUUUACCCUUUAGCGCUCACACACACUUUGAUUUAUAAAUAUUUUUUUCGUAUAAACCUGGUCACUUUACAUGAAAUCUGACUCCAGUGUGAAACUUGAAAUAGUUGUACAUUUAAUACUAUAAUGGAUAAUAUAUAUCUGUUAAAUUGUUGCCAUGUUUUUCUUUUAUUGCAAACAAGUGCAAGGAUUAAUAUCACAUUUUUUAUAACUAAAAGUUUUCAUUAUAAUCAUUUUAUUUGUACUUGACAUUUUUUUAAAAUUAUUUUAAUUAAUUUUUAUUAUUAUCCAUUAAUCAACAGUUACAAUUAUAAUUGCAUAUACUGAUAAGUUUUUACUGUAAAUGUAGCUAUCUCACAAUAGCUCUGUACAACGGCCUAUUAUUUUGGUCACUGAAAUAGGGAUGACUUGUGUCAAAGUACUCUAGCUGUAUUAUAAUUAAAUUUGACGUGUGUAUUAUGGGUUCAAUAUUUUUCAUGGACACUAUUAAAUUUUUUAAUGAUUCUCUGGUAAUGAUGAACCAUGGCUUUAUAGUUUUCCUAAAAACAAAAUUUUGGUGGUCUUGUUGAAUUCAGAUAUGUGAAAACAAUAAAAUCAAAUAUCAACAAAAAAUAUAAUUUGUCUUCAAUUGCUGAAAUUUAAAACCCAUGAAAUGAUAGCUAUCCACAGUAUUUUACAUCAAUUACUUAUUAUUAUAAUGAAUUAUUUUACUGUACAUAAAAGAAAUUUGGAAGAUGCUUUUAUAAUGUGGAAAAGAGGAGGUGUGACAAGAACCAUUAUUAAAAGA
rnacentral:lncRNA from 1 species